CAGCAGCCGCGGUAAUACGAAGGGCGCGAGCGUUACCCGGAUUUACUGGGCGUAAAGGGCGUGUAGGCGGCCUGGGGCGUCCCAUGUGAAAGGCCACGGCUCAACCGUGGAGGAGCGUGGGAUACGCUCAGGCUAGAGGGUGGGAGAGGGUGGUGGAAUUCCCGGAGUAGCGGUGAAAUGCGCAGAUACCGGGAGGAACGCCGAUGGCGAAGGCAGCCACCUGGUCCACUUCUGACGCUGAGGCGCGAAAGCGUGGGGAGCAAACCGGAUUAGAUACCCCGGUAGUCCCUGUCUCUUAUAA
rnacentral:rRNA from 1 species